ACGGGUGAGUAAUGUCUGGGAAACUGCCUGAUGGAGGGGGAUAACUACUGGAAACGGUAGCUAAUACCGCAUGACGUCUUCGGACCAAAGUGGGGGACCUUCGGGCCUCACGCCAUCAGAUGUGCCCAGAUGGGAUUAGCUAGUAGGUGGGGUAAUGGCUCACCUAGGCGACGAUCUCUAGCUGGUCUGAGAGGAUGACCAGCCACACUGGAACUGAGACACGGUCCAGACUCCUACGGGAGGCAGCAGUGGGGAAUAUUGCACAAUGGGCGCAAGCCUGAUGCAGCCAUGCCGCGUGUAUGAAGAAGGCCUUCGGGUUGUAAAGUACUUUCAGCGAGGAGGAAGGCAUUGUGGUUAAUAACCACAGUGAUUGACGUUACUCGCAGAAGAAGCACCGGCUAACUCCGUGCCAGCAGCCGCGGUAAUACGGAGGGUGCAAGCGUUAAUCGGAAUUACUGGGCGUAAAGCGCACGCAGGCGGUUGAUUAAGUCAGAUGUGAAAUCCCCGAGCUUAACUUGGGAACUGCAUUUGAAACUGGUCAGCUAGAGUCUUGUAGAGGGGGGUAGAAUUCCAGGUGUAGCG
rnacentral:rRNA from 1 species